rnacentral:lncRNA from 1 species
CUUCCACAUGAUCACAGAAAAUAAGGCUGGAGGAGUUGAGAGGUGCUAUAAGUCAUCCUUUCCAUCCCCAGGGUAGACCAGCUAUAUCCUGGGCCAUUCCUCACAGGUGCCUUGAUGUUCCUGAAAACAAGGUGAUGACUGACCUUUACAUGAAACAACAUGAAUAUGUGAAAGAUGACACAAGAGCAGAGGAAAUAAGAGAGGUGCUGAAGUGA